rnacentral:rRNA from 1 species
GACGAACGCUGGCGGCGUGCUUAACACAUGCAAGUCGAACGAAGUGGCGAACGGGUGAGUAAUACGUGAGUAACCUCCCCUCCUUUUUGGGAUAAGCCUUUGAAACGGGGUCUAAUACAGAAUAAAGGGUGAUGGGCUCUCGGCCUAGCAGCUUGUUGGGGGGUGGAUGGCCUACCAAGGCGGUGACGGGUAGCCGGCCUGAGAGGGUAACCGGCGACAUUGGGACUGAGAUGCGGCCCAGACUCUUACGGGAGGCAGCAGUUGGGGCUAUUGCACAAUGGGCGAAGGCCGAAUGCAGCGUCACCGCGUGGGGGAUGAAGGCUUUCGUGUUGUAAUCCUCUUUCGCUAUCGUACGGGUAGGUGGAGAGGAAGCGCCGGCUAACUACGUGCCAGCAGCCGCAGUAAUUC